GGAAUAUUGGACAAUGGGGGCAACCCUGAUCCAGCAAUGCCGCGUGUGUGAAGAAGGCCUGCGGGUUGUAAAGCACUUUCAGCAGGGAAGAACAGCGGGGGGCUAAUACCUCCGCGUCCUGACGUAACCUGAAGAAGAAGCACCGGCUAACUCCGUGCCAGCAGCCGCGGUAAUACGGAGGGUGCGAGCGUUAAUCGGAAUUACUGGGCGUAAAGCGUACGUAGGUGGCUUGAUAAGUCGGAUGUGAAAGCCCCGGGCUCAACCUGGGAACUGCAUCCGAAACUGUCUGGCUAGAGUAAGGGAGAGGGAAGCGGAAUUUCCGGUGUAGCGGUGAAAUGCGUAGAUAUCGGAAGGAACACCAGUGGCGAAGGCGGCUUCCUGGCCCAUUACUGACACUGAGGUACGAAAGCGUGGGGAGCAAAC
rnacentral:rRNA from 1 species